CCUACGGGUGGCUGCAGUGGGGAAUAUUGGACAAUGGGCGAAAGCCUGAUCCAGCCAUGCCGCGUGUGUGAAGAAGGCCUUCGGGUUGUAAAGCACUUUCAGUGGGGAAGAAAGCCUUGGGGCUAAUACCCUCGAGGAAGGACAUCACCCACAGAAGAAGCACCGGCUAACUCCGUGCCAGCAGCCGCGGUAAUACGGAGGGUGCGAGCGUUAAUCGGAAUUACUGGGCGUAAAGCGCGCGUAGGCGGUCUGAUAAGCCGGUUGUGAAAGCCCCGGGCUCAACCUGGGAACGGCAUCCGGAACUGUCAGGCUAGAGUGCAGGAGAGGAAGGUAGAAUUCCCGGUGUAGCGGUGAAAUGCGUAGAGAUCGGGAGGAAUACCAGUGGCGAAGGCGGCCUUCUGGACUGACACUGACGCUGAGGUGCGAAAGCGUGGGUAGCAAACAGGAUUAGAUACCCUGGAGUC
rnacentral:rRNA from 1 species